rnacentral:rRNA from 1 species
UGAGGAAUAUUGCACAAUGGGCGCAAGCCUGAACCAGCCAUCCCGCGUGCAGGAAGACGGCCCUAUGGGUUGUAAACUGCUUUUCCAGGGAGAGAAACUUGCGUACGCGUUGCGCAAUUGACGGUACCCUGGGAAUAAGCAUCGGCUAACUCCGUGCCAGCAGCCGCGGUAAUACGGAGGAUGCGAGCGUUAUCCGGAUUCAUUGGGUUUAAAGGGUGCGUAGGCGGACUAUUAAGUCAGUGGUGAAAUCCUGCAGCUUAACUGCAGAACUGCCAUUGAUACUGAUAGCCUUGAGUUUGGUUAAGGUAGGCGGAAUGUGUAAUGUAGCGGUGAAAUGCUUAGAUAUUACACAGAACACCGAUUGCGAAGGCAGCUUACUGGGCCAUUACUGACGCUGAGGCACGAAAGCGUGGGGAGCGAACA